UGAAGAUUUAACGGUAAUUUGAAUGCU
rnacentral:piRNA from 1 species